GAAUCUUGCACAAUGGGCGAAAGCCUGAUGCAGCAACGCCGCGUGCGGGAAGAAGGCCCUAGGGUUGUAAACCGCUUUCAGUAGGGAAGAAAAUGACGGUACCUACAGAAGAAGGUGCGGCCAACUACGUGCCAGCAGCCGCGGUGACACGUAGGCACCAAGCGUUAUCCGGAUUUAUUGGGCGUAAAGAGCUCGUAGGCGGUUCAGUCAGUCGGGUGUGAAAACUUGAGGCUUAACCUCAAGAGGCCACUCGAUACUACUGUGACUAGAGUGCGGUAGGGGAGCGGGGAAUUCCUGGUGUAGCGGUGAAAUGCGCAGAUAUCAGGAGGAACACCAGUGGCGAAGGCGCCGCUCUGGGCCGUAACUGACGCUGAGGAGCGAAAGCAUGGGUAGCAAACAGG
rnacentral:rRNA from 1 species